CUCAUUUGAGAGUCUUGUAAAGCUGUUGUCCGUGUGUUAUUGCUUACAAAUGAUUCUCCAUCAACGUUGAUUAUGGUGACCGAGGGAUCGAGAACCGAGGGGAUUAGAGUCCAUUACAACAUUAACCCUUUCAGCUUGGUGUCUAGAAGUGGGAUAGAAGUUGGAUCAGCAAAACCAUUUGCGGUGAGUAGCCUUUUUGUGUCUUAUUUGACGCUGAUUGUCUAUGACCCCCGUUUGGUUCAGUAAGACUGUAUCCAGUAGAUAGGAAAGGUGUAAGGACUCUAGUUAUAUUGAGACUAUAAGAGGUCUCCGGUUUAUUAUAGGGUUUUGGUAACCCAGGUUAGUAUCUAAGAUAGAUACAGGGUAUCUCAGGUAGAUACAGGUUUUUGAGACCAUAAGAGGUCUCCGGUUUAUUAAGUCUAUAGGUGUUCUGAGCAGCACGGUUUGUAGAUCUAUAAGUAUAACCCAAACUUCUCUUUCUCCCGGUCACCUUUGUUU